rnacentral:rRNA from 1 species
CACGUAGGGCGCAAGCGUUGUCCGGAAUUAUUGGGCGUAAAGAGCUCGUAGGCGGUCUGUUACGUCUGCUGUGAAAGCCCUGGGCUUAACCCUGGGCUUGCAGUGGAUACGGGCAGACUAGAGGCAGGUAGGGGAGAAUGGAAUUCCCGGUGUAGCGGUGAAAUGCGCAGAUAUCAGGAGGAACACCGGUGGCGAAGGCGGGUCUCUGGGCCGAUACUGACGCUGGAGGAGCGAAAGCGUGGGGAGCGAACAGG